UACGGAGGGGGCGAGCGUUAUUCGGAAUCAUUGGGCGUAAAGGGCGCGUAGGCGGCUUCAUAAGUCUUGGGUGAAAGCCCUCGGCUCAACCGAGGAAUUGCCUUGGAUACUGUGGAGCUCGAGGCUGGAAGAGGGCAGUGGAAUUCCCGGUGUAGCGGUGAAAUGCGCAGAUAUCAGGAGGAACACCGGUGGCGAAGGCGGGUCUCUGGGCCGAUACUGACGCUGAGGAGCGAAAGCGUGGGGAGCGAACAGG
rnacentral:rRNA from 1 species